rnacentral:misc_RNA from 1 species
AAAAAACCAAAACAAAGAGAGCUGCCAUAUGAUGGUGAGUACAACCGCAUUAUGAUCCAAAUGAUGGGUUAACCCAUGUUGGCGGGCAAACAGGACUUAAUGACACCCCAGAAUAAAAAGAUUCAACCUUCCCAUUUUCAAAAUUGUAAACCCCCGUAUCUUUUCCACCACCUGCUUCCAAGGCGAAAUAGCUCUCAAAUACAUCAUCUGUGAAAUAAAUGUGAUUAGGUUUCAGCCCUUUAACCAUAGCAGUUGCUCCAUUCCGUCCCAAAAAAAUUGUUGAAUCUCCCAAAGUAUUAAUCUCGUUCAAUUGAUUAUAUCUAUUUCAAAUACCUUAAACUUAAUGGUUUCAUAAUCG